UACAGAGGGUGCAAGCGUUAAUCGGAAUUACUGGGCGUAAAGCGUGCGUAGACGGUUAUGUAAGUCGGGUGUGAAAGCCCCGGGCUCAACCUGGGAAUGCCAUUCGAGACUGCAUAGCUAGGGUGCGGAAGAGGGAAGCGGAAUUUCAGGUGGUAGCGGUGAAAUGCGUAGAUAUCUGAAGGAACACCAGUGGCGAAAGCGGCUUCCUGGUCCAGCACCGACGUCAGGCACGAAAGCGUGGGGAGCAAACAGG
rnacentral:rRNA from 1 species